rnacentral:rRNA from 1 species
UACGGGGGGAGCAAGCGUUGUUCGGAUUUACUGGGCGUAAAGGGCGCGUAGGCGGCGUGACAAGUCACUUGUGAAAUCUCCGGGCUUAACCCGGAGCGGCCAAGUGAUACUGUCGUGCUAGAGUGCGGAAGGGGCUACUGGAAUUCUCGGUGUAGCGGUGGAAUGCGUAGAUAUCGAGAGGAACACCUGCGGCGAAGGCGGGUUGCUGGGCUGACACUGACGCUGAAGUGCGAAAGCUAGGGGAGCGAACGGG